UGGGGAUUUAAGCAGUGACUCUUAAUAGAGGGGAAUCGAACAGCCAAAGCGGCGCCGGCCCAGCAAGUUGAACAUGGUAGAUAAUCGACACAGCAGGCUGUGUGCGACUGAUUUCUCCUUCCGAGGCCAAGGGUCAUCAGAUCGCCUGGAACUACAGACGGUUGUGGGUCACUGCGUGGAUGCUAGAAUGUGAAAUCCAAACCUCUGCAAGAGCAGCAAACGCUCUUAACCACGGAUCCAUUUCUCCAGACCAGUUUCCAAAAUAUUCUUAAUCAGUGACCCAUCAUCAUUCAACACUCAAAAAGGUUGUUACCCACAGGUUGAGAAUGGAUGCUUUAUAAUCUCACACUUCUUUGUAAGCAGUAAGCAGCCACAGUAUGGCAGAUAAAAUAAUGGAUUUCUGGUUAAUGAAUAUCUGGUGA